UCUCUCUCUCGCUCGCUCUCUAUGUAUAUAUAUAUUCUACAUGUAUAUAACGUUGGCUGCUUUCUCGCUAGACGAUCACGAGCACGAAUACUCCCGGAUAUAGAAACGUAUCACAGAAGAAGCACAAUAAUCAUUUUGUUGGAAGAAAAUCAGAGGAGACACCCUCUCCGGUUACUCUUUAUUUGCCCGUCCCCCUGGCGCGUACUUAAGCCGAAGUCACUCUUCUAUUUUAAGCUCCAACACUUGCCCCGUCGUCUGCGUCUCUUGGCUUCUCCUCCUCGCUCUUUCUUCUUUUCUUGCAGAGCAACACGAGCAGACGCAUACACGCACUAUCUUUUUCUCUUUGGGUACGCGGUUGGGACACAGAGUCGCGACUCCUCUCUCGUUAUCCACUUACCAGCGCGUCAAUCUGUUUGCUAUGCAAAUCCCGUCCGACCGGUGCUGACGUAGACGGGGCAACACCAACGCAGAAACGGGUCCGUCGACGAUAUCUCCUACUAACACAUUUUAACACGGCCGAGCAGUUAGUCAUUGCCCGCGAAGCACACACGUAGAAAAUAUAAUUGGCUACCAACGACGGACCACGCAGCAAUUCCACCACGGGGUCUCCUUUUUAGCCCCACUACUGUUCGGCAACACCGAUACCAAGCCCACUACACGACCAUUACCACCACCAAUACCGACGACAGAUACUGGUGUCGUUACUACUACGAUCACUACUGCCAGCAGUAAUACACCACCAACACACAGACCGACACCCGUAUCGGUAAACGCACCGCAAAACUCCACCAACGAAUUCCCCUUGUCGACUUACACGUCUUCGCGACUCUUGCCUGACGUCAUUGGCGCCUAAUCGCGACGUAUUUCGCGUACCACACUUGUUCGCGUACUUCUGUCGGACGUACACCUCGUGGCUGUUUCCAACGAUCGAUCUUUCUUCGAUCUUCCUUCUCGAUAUCUUCUGUCACGUGGAUUCCGUACCACGACGAGAUUAGACUUCGGUGAUCUCGCCUUCAACAAGUAUUCCACACUUUUUCUUUCCUCUGCGUAGAAAACUUUCCUCUCCCGAAAGCGAUAUAGAGUUACACUGAAAUCAGUUCCGUCGGUCCGGUGGAUCGUCGGGUCUAAAGCCAACAGAGACGGCACCCCGAGCAGACAGCUGUGUCACACUGUAGCGUUACAAUUUCUCGCUCAUUCAUCGUCGACUCGGUCGGCAGGGAAUCGACUCGAUCCUCCAUAAGUUCGGAUCUCUGAACGCGUGUCGCGUAUCGAGCGUUCGAUCCGCGCCACUCGCACCGCGCACGGACUCAAAUCGGCUUCCCACCACGUUUACUCCGUUACUACUCAUCACUCUUCCUGCAACAUAAUUCCCGUUCGACGGCACUGCACGCACUUUCCAUGCUCCUCCUCGAAUUACCACCACUGCUAACACCGCGGCACAGUCUGUUCCCACCAAAACGAAGAUCGUGUCGCGUCGCGUAGCGUGGCCGUGUUGCGAAACGGAUGUGUGCGCUCUCCUACCGGGUUUUCAACAAGUGAUCGCAGUAGCAAUAAGAGCAGAAGCGGCGGCGGCGGCGACGACGAAUCGGUAGCUCGUCGUUCCAGGGUCGUUCGUCGGCGUAUAGGUGGCACAACACGCGCAUGCUACACCUCCUGACAGCGUUGUUAUUGUUGCGUAACUGGCGGCCCGCUAAGCCUGAGUGUGCUGCUGCCAGCAGCCGGAGGAGAGAGAGGUCGACCGACAGCCGAGGUAACAGCCAGCCGUGGGUGAGCCAGUGGGCGAUGUAUCUCCGAAAGAGCAGUGAGUGUGCGAGCAGUGCGCCGUCUGGCGUGGCUGACGACAGUCUACUGCCUUCCGAGAACCACGAGGCGAUUCCGUGUAUCGAACGCGCGCUGCCGAGCCACUGAAGGGAUGGACGCCGGACCAGCGGGGUGGGGGAUCUGCCGGGACGACAGGGGAAGGGAACUCGGCGCUGAGACGAACCUAAAGGCCCGUUCACGCGUACGCGACCAGUACGCGAGCUUUCGAGAACAAGAGUAACGAACACCAACGGACAUCUAACCUCCACUUUACACUUUACGUUGCUUUACACGGUAUUCUUGUUUAUCGUCCGUUUGUUACGCUGCCAACCGAUCGAGAUCUUCCUUUUGGCGCCAUGCAGAAUUGAACGGUUAAAAACGCGAUAAAGGGUGAGCGGUUUUCCAUAAAUUAUAUCCGAUCUAAAAUCAUAAAUUAUAUCGACAAGUGGUAGAUAAAGCAUCAUUAUUAUAAGAGGUAUAUGUUUGAGAUCGCUUAUGUCUCUAUCUGUAGUCUUAUAUGGAUUCCUUUGGUCUCUUUCAAACUUCAAGAACAGUUCGUCAAAUUCUGAGACAUCGAUUACUUUUAUUUCGUAAAUUGUUUCGCGAGGAGAAGUAGGGUUAGUGUCACUAGUAAAAUUAUAUUCGAAAUAAUUGUUUUUAUUUUCGAUUUAUAAGAUAUUUCAAAGAUAUUGAUUUUACGUGUACAUCGGGCGAUUGCUACACAAACAAUUUAUUCGUGACGUUUAUUUGACUGGACAGUUACAUUUUUAUUCAUUCACUAUAAAAUAUUAACUACUUGUACAUUUCUUAAACGUAUUUUUAGUUAUUCUUUGUUUUUAUGAGUGAUUUCCAAAUGUUCAAUAAAAUUUAGGUACAGCGUA